rnacentral:rRNA from 1 species
UGGGGAAUAUUGCACAAUGGGCGCAAGCCUGAUGCAGCCAUGCCGCGUGUGUGAAGAAGGCCUUCGGGUUGUAAAGCACUUUCAGCGAGGAAGGAAGGUGGUGAGCUUAAUACGCUCAUCAAUUGACGUUACUCGCAGAAGAAGCACCGGCUAACUCCGUGCCAGCAGCCGCGGUAAUACGGAGGGUGCAAGCGUUAAUCGGAAUUACUGGGGCGUAAAGCGCACGCAGGCGGUUUGUUAAGUCAGAUGUGAAAUCCCCGGGCUCAACCUGGGAACUGCAUUUGAAACUGGCAAGCUAGAGUCUCGUAGAGGGGGGUAGAAAUUCCAGGUGUAGCGGUGAAAUGCGUAGAGAUCUGAGGAAUACCGGUGGCGAAGGCGGCCCCCCUGGACGAAGACUGACGCUCAGGUGCGAAAGCGUGGGGCAGC